CUCGUAGGCGGCCAACUAAGUCAGACGUGAAAUCCCUCGGGCUCAACCGGGGAACUGCGUCUGAUACUGGAUGGCUUGAAUCCGGGAGAGGGAUGCGGAAUUCCAGGUGUAGCGGUGAAAUGCGUAGAUAUCUGGAGGAACACCGGUGGCAAAGGCGGCAUCCUGGACCGGUAUUGACGCUGAGGAGCGAAAGCCAGGGGAGCAAACGGGAUUAGAUACCCCGGUAGUCCUGGCCCUAAACGAUGAAUGCUUGGUGUGGCGGGUAUCGAUCCCUGCCGUGCCGAAGCUAACGCAUUAAGCAUUCCGCCUGGGGAGUACGGUCGCAAGGCUGAA
rnacentral:rRNA from 1 species